AUACUGAAACCGAGUAGGGGAGAAAAGUCCAUUUCAAAAAUCAAUCGAUCAGUAAGAGAAAACAAACAAACAAAAAACAGCCUUUAUUUACUCUACAAGCACCCUUAAGGUCUCAUUGUCCUGAGGUCGUCAAAAUAACCGUUGCUUUGGCAUCAUGGCUGUGCACACCUAACUUGGAAUUACUUAAUUCAUUAUGAUGCUUCCAAAGAAAAUCCUUUUGGUUGAUGAAAGCAGGAGAUAAAGAUAAUAAUGGCAACCAUCGACUGAAGUACUAGGCACUGAAUGAAGUGCCUCAUAUGAACUAUCCACUUAGCUCCUGCAGUAAACCCUUAAUGGCGCUAUUAGUAUCCCCAGUUUAGGGAUAGAGAAGCUAACGCUCAGAGAGAGAAAGUGAUUUGCCCAAAGCCACAGUGUUAGCAGGUGACACAACCAAGAUUCAGACCCAGGUUCUUCGUCUACCCUAACAGUAUUGCCAAAGAGAGAUUCCAAAGUUACCGCCUGGCCACUGGGUAAACCUCCGCAGCAGAGAGACCUACUUUAUGUUUCAUUUUCAAGCUCCUAUGGAGCCCAGCAGAGAGAGCUGACAAGGAGGAAUACUGCGAGGGGCUCACAGACUAAGACAAUCUGCUGGGAAAUUAGGGGUUUAAUGAAGAGCUAUAGAAGCUUCACUGAACCUCGGAGACCCAGAAAAACUAAGGGAAUUUUCGGAAUUUACUCAUAGUAUCUUCUCACUCUCCUCUCCAGAUUUUCAGAACAUAUGGUGGGCAUACAGAAGUCAGUAAAAAGCAUCAAGGCGUAUACCACCUGCCUCUAAAAUCAUCCAGUUUUCCUAUAUGCCCUGUUGCAACUGCUUAUUAAAACAAGGUUGCUAAAUAAUUCAUUGUUGCUUUUGUUAGAUAAUAAUAACUUAUUUUUUAGGCAUAUUUUAACUUCAGCAAUAAAUCAGGAAAUUAGAAAAU
rnacentral:lncRNA from 1 species